rnacentral:rRNA from 1 species
CGAUGAACCACUUCGGUGGGGAUUAGUGGCGAACGGGUGAGUAACACGUGGGCAAUCUGCCCUUCACUCUGGGACAAGCCCUGGAAACGGGGUCUAAUACCGGAUACUGACCCUUGCAGGCAUCUGCGAGGUUCGAAAGCUCCGGCGGUGAAGGAUGAGCCCGCGGCCUAUCAGCUUGUUGGUGAGGUAAUGGCUCACCAAGGCGACGACGGGUAGCCGGCCUGAGAGGGCGACCGGCCACACUGGGACUGAGACACGGCCCAGACUCCUACGGGAGGCAGCAGUGGGGAAUAUUGCACAAUGGGCGAAAGCCUGAUGCAGCGACGCCGCGUGAGGGAUGACGGCCUUCGGGUUGUAAACCUCUUUCAGCAGGGAAGAAGCGAAAGUGACGGUACCUGCAGAAGAAGCGCCGGCUAACUACGUGCCAGCAGCCGCGGUAAUACGUAGGGCGCAAGCGUUGUCCGGAAUUAUUGGGCGUAAAGAGCUCGUAGGCGGCUUGUCACGUCGGUUGUGAAAGCCCGGGGCUUAACCCCGGGUCUGCAGUCGAUACGGGCAGGCUAGAGUUCGGUAGGGGAGAUCGGAAUUCCUGGUGUAGCGGUGAAAUGCGC